rnacentral:rRNA from 1 species
UGGGGAAUAUUGCACAAUGGGCGCAAGCCUGAUGCAGCGACGCCGCGUGGGGGAUGACGGCCUUCGGGUUGUAAACUCCUUUCGCCAGGGACGAAGCGUUUUGUGACGGUACCUGGAGAAGAAGCACCGGCUAGCUACGUGCCAGCAGCCGCGGUAAUACGUAGGGUGCAAGCGUUGUCCGGAAUUACUGGGCGUAAAGAGCUCGUAGGUGGUUUGUCACGUCGUCUGUGAAAUUCCACAGCUUAACUGUGGGCGUGCAGGCGAUACGGGCUGACUUGAGUACUGUAGGGGUAACUGGAAUUCCUGGUGUAGCGGUGAAAUGCGCAGAUAUCAGGAGGAACACCGAUGGCGAAGGCAGGUUACUGGGCAGUUACUGACGCUGAGGAGCGAAAGCAUGGGUAGCAAACAGGAUUAGAUACCCUGGUAGUCCAUGCCGUAAACGGUGGGCGCUAGGUGUAGGGGCCUUUUGGGGUUUCUGUGCCGUAGCUAACGCAUUAAGCGCCCCGCCUGGGGAGUACGGCCGCAAGGCUA